rnacentral:tRNA from 1 species
GGUUCCGUAGUGUAGUGGUUAUCACGUUCGCGUCACACGCGAGAGGUCUCCUUUUCGAUCCCGGACGGAACCA